rnacentral:rRNA from 1 species
UGGCGGCGGCUAAAAAUUUCAGGGGAACUUGCCAGGUAAAUGAUAAUCCUCAAAAAAACACUACUUCUAUUAAUAGUUUGUAUAUCGCCGUCUUCAGUACUCAUUUUAGAUGAAUUCAAGAUGUUUCUAAACAAAAAGACAGGUUCUGAUGCAACCAAUAUAGAAGUCAAGGGUGAGUUACAAUAAAAAUUCUAUUUAGAUUUAUUUUGAAAACAAAAUAAUAAAACUGGACUUGAAAGUAACAGUUAUAAUAAACAUUUCUUGAAUUUUAAAUUUAGCC